GGGUUGUGAGGUUAAGCGACUAAGCGUACACGGUGGAUGCCCUGGCAGUCAGAGGCGAUGAAGGACGUGCUAAUCUGCGAUAAGCGUCGGUGAGGUGAUAUGAACCGUUAUAACCGGCGAUUUCCGAAUGGGGAAACCCAGUGUGUUUCGACACACUAUCAUUAACUGAAUCCAUAGGUUAAUGAGGCGAACCGGGGGAACUGAAACAUCUAAGUACCCGAGGAAAAGAAAUCAACCGAGAUUCCCCCAGUAGCGGCGAGCGAACGGGGAGGAGCCCAGAGCCUGAAUCAGUGUGUGUGUUAGUGGAAGCGUCUGGAAAGGCGCGCGAUACAGGGUGACAGCCCCGUACACAAAAAUGCACAUACUGUGAGCUCGAUGAGUAGGGCGGGACACGUGGUAUCCUGUCUGAAUAUGGGGGACCAUCCUCCAAGGCUAAAUACUCCUGACUGACCGAUAGUGAACCAGUACCGUGAGGGAAAGGCGAAAAGAACCCCGGCGAGGGGAGUGAAAAAGAACCUGAAACCGUGUACGUACAAGCAGUGGGAGCCUCUUAAUGGGGUGACUGCGUACCUUUUGUAUAAUGGGUCAGCGACUUAUAUUCUGUAGCAAGGUUAACCGAAUAGGGGAGCCGAAGGGAAACCGAGUCUUAACUGGGCGUUAAGUUGCAGGGUAUAGACCCGAAACCCGGUGAUCUAGCCAUGGGCAGGUUGAAGGUUGGGUAACACUAACUGGAGGACCGAACCGACUAAUGUUGAAAAAUUAGCGGAUGACUUGUGGCUGGGGGUGAAAGGCCAAUCAAACCGGGAGAUAGCUGGUUCUCCCCGAAAGCUAUUUAGGUAGCGCCUCGUGAAUUCAUCUCCGGGGUAGAGCACUGUUUCGGCAAGGGGGUCAUCCCGACUUACCAACCCGAUGCAAACUGCGAAUACCGGAGAAUGUUAUCACGGGAGACACACGGCGGGUGCUAACGUCCGUCGUGAAGAGGGAAACAACCCAGACCGCCAGCUAAGGUCCCAAAGUCAUGGUUAAGUGGGAAACGAUGUGGGAAGGCCCAGACAGCCAGGAUGUUGGCUUAGAAGCAGCCAUCAUUUAAAGAAAGCGUAAUAGCUCACUGGUCGAGUCGGCCUGCGCGGAAGAUGUAACGGGGCUAAACCAUGCACCGAAGCUGCGGCAGCGACACUAUGUGUUGUUGGGUAGGGGAGCGUUCUGUAAGCCUGUGAAGGUGGCCUGUGAGGGUUGCUGGAGGUAUCAGAAGUGCGAAUGCUGACAUAAGUAACGAUAAAGCGGGUGAAAAGCCCGCUCGCCGGAAGACCAAGGGUUCCUGUCCAACGUUAAUCGGGGCAGGGUGAGUCGACCCCUAAGGCGAGGCCGAAAGGCGUAGUCGAUGGGAAACAGGUUAAUAUUCCUGUACUUGGUGUUACUGCGAAGGGGGGACGGAGAAGGCUAUGUUGGCCGGGCGACGGUUGUCCCGGUUUAAGCGUGUAGGCUGGUUUUCCAGGCAAAUCCGGAAAACCAAGGCUGAGGCGUGAUGACGAGGCACUACGGUGCUGAAGCGACAAAUGCCCUGCUUCCAGGAAAAGCCUCUAAGCAUCAGGUAACAUCAAAUCGUACCCCAAACCGACACAGGUGGUCAGGUAGAGAAUACCAAGGCGCUUGAGAGAACUCGGGUGAAGGAACUAGGCAAAAUGGUGCCGUAACUUCGGGAGAAGGCACGCUGAUAUGUAGGUGAAGCGACUUGCUCGUGGAGCUGAAAUCAGUCGAAGAUACCAGCUGGCUGCAACUGUUUAUUAAAAACACAGCACUGUGCAAACACGAAAGUGGACGUAUACGGUGUGACGCCUGCCCGGUGCCGGAAGGUUAAUUGAUGGGGUUAGCGGCAACGCGAAGCUCUUGAUCGAAGCCCCGGUAAACGGCGGCCGUAACUAUAACGGUCCUAAGGUAGCGAAAUUCCUUGUCGGGUAAGUUCCGACCUGCACGAAUGGCGUAAUGAUGGCCAGGCUGUCUCCACCCGAGACUCAGUGAAAUUGAACUCGCUGUGAAGAUGCAGUGUACCCGCGGCAAGACGGAAAGACCCCGUGAACCUUUACUAUAGCUUGACACUGAACAUUGAGCCUUGAUGUGUAGGAUAGGUGGGAGGCUUUGAAGUGUGGACGCCAGUCUGCAUGGAGCCGACCUUGAAAUACCACCCUUUAAUGUUUGAUGUUCUAACGUUGGCCCGUAAUCCGGGUUGCGGACAGUGUCUGGUGGGUAGUUUGACUGGGGCGGUCUCCUCCUAAAGAGUAACGGAGGAGCACGAAGGUUGGCUAAUCCUGGUCGGACAUCAGGAGGUUAGUGCAAUGGCAUAAGCCAGCUUGACUGCGAGCGUGACGGCGCGAGCAGGUGCGAAAGCAGGUCAUAGUGAUCCGGUGGUUCUGAAUGGAAGGGCCAUCGCUCAACGGAUAAAAGGUACUCCGGGGAUAACAGGCUGAUACCGCCCAAGAGUUCAUAUCGACGGCGGUGUUUGGCACCUCGAUGUCGGCUCAUCACAUCCUGGGGCUGAAGUAGGUCCCAAGGGUAUGGCUGUUCGCCAUUUAAAGUGGUACGCGAGCUGGGUUUAGAACGUCGUGAGACAGUUCGGUCCCUAUCUGCCGUGGGCGCUGGAGAACUGAGGGGGGCUGCUCCUAGUACGAGAGGACCGGAGUGGACGCAUCACUGGUGUUCGGGUUGUCAUGCCAAUGGCACUGCCCGGUAGCUAAAUGCGGAAGAGAUAAGUGCUGAAAGCAUCUAAGCACGAAACUUGCCCCGAGAUGAGUUCUCCCUGACUCCUUGAGGGUCCUGAAGGAACGUUGAAGACGACGACGUUGAUAGGCCGGGUGUGUAAGCGCAGCGAUGCGUUGAGCUAACCGGUACUAAUGAACCGUGAGGCUUAACCUUACAACGCCGAAG
rnacentral:rRNA from 1 species